AGGACGAACGCUGGCGGCGUGCUUAACACAUGCAAGUCGAGCGGAAAGGCCCUUCGGGGUACUCGAGCGGCGAACGGGUGAGUAACACGUGAGCAACCUGCCCUUGGCUCUGGGAUAGCCUCCGGAAACGGGGAUUAAUACCGGACAUUCACUUUCUCCUGCAUGGGGGUUGGUGGAAAGUUUUUCGGCCAGGGAGGGGCUCGCGGCCUAUCAGCUUGUUGGCGGGGUAACGGCCCACCAAGGCGACGACGGGUAGCCGGCCUGAGAGGGCGAUCGGCCACACUGGGACUGAGACACGGCCCAGACUCCUACGGGAGGCAGCAGUGGGGAAUAUUGCACAAUGGGCGCAAGCCUGAUGCAGCGACGCCGCGUGGGGGAUGAAGGCCUUCGGGUUGUAAACCCUUUCACCAGGAGCGAAUUCAGACGGUACCUGGGGAAGAAGCGCCGGCUAACUACGUGCCAGCAGCCGC
rnacentral:rRNA from 1 species